GGUUGACCUCGGAUCAGGUAGGGAUACCCGCUGAACUUAAGC
rnacentral:rRNA from 6 species